rnacentral:rRNA from 1 species
UUUCCCAAAGUUACCUGAAAAGAGUCUUGGGUUCCCAUCAGAACUCCGCAGUUAAGCGUGCUUGGGCGGGAGUAGUACUAGGAUGGGUGACCUCCCGGGAAGUCCUCGUGUUGCAAAAU